rnacentral:rRNA from 1 species
UACGGAGGGUGCAAGCGUUAUCCGGAUUCACUGGGUUUAAAGGGUGCGUAGGUGGGCAGUUAAGUCAGUGGUGAAAUCUCCGGGCUUAACCCGGAAACUGCCAUUGAUACUAUCUGUCUUGAAUAUCGUGGAGGUAAGCGGAAUAUGUCAUGUAGCGGUGAAAUGCUUAGAUAUGACAUAGAGCACCAAUUGCGAAGGCAGCUUACUACCCGAAUAUUGACACUGAGGCACGAAAGCGUGGGGAUCAAACAGG